rnacentral:rRNA from 1 species
AAUAGAUACCCCGGUAGUCCACGCCGUAAACGAUGAAUGCUAGGUGUUAGGGGUUUCGAUACCCUUGGUGCCGAAGUUAACACAUUAAGCAUUCCGCCUGGGGAGUACGGCCGCAAGGCUGAAACUCAAAGGAAUUGACGGGGACCCGCACAAGCAGUGGAGUAUGUGGUUUAAUUCGAAGCAACGCGAAGAACCUUACCAGGUCUUGACAUCCCCCUGACCGGCGCAGAGAUGUGCCUUUCCUUCGGGACAGGGGAGACAGGUGGUGCAUGGUUGUCGUCAGCUCGUGUCGUGAGAUGUUGGGUUAAGUCCCGCAACGAGCGCAACCCUUGACUUUAGUUGCCAGCAAGUAAGGUUGGGCACUCUAGAGUGACUGCCGGUGACAAACCGGAGGAAGGUGGGGAUGACGUCAAAUCAUCAUGCCCCUUAUGACCUGGGCUACACACGUACUACAAUGGCCGGUACAACGGGCUGCGAAGCCGCGAGGUUGAGCCAAUCCCAUAAAGCCGGUCUAAGUUCGGAUUGGAGGCUGCAACUCGCCUCCA